CACUCUUCCAAAUCUGUAACGGGAGGUGAACCCUAACAGGAGAUUUUCUGUUAUUAAUUUCUUAUCUUAAUUUUGCAAUUAAACCAUUGAAAAACGAUAAAUUUUAAUUGAUUUUUCCUGCACACCAGUAUCAAUAGAGCAUCAAUUCAACCCCUUCAACAGCGAACGACAUCAUAUUAACAAUAAUUGCGCAAAUCAUAUGGAUCUUCAAAGUUAUCAGAAAAUAAGAAAUUGGAAUUUUGAUAAGAGAAGCACCGGGAAACCUCUACUUCAGUUGCAGAAACCGAGCACUACACCACCUUUACCGAUAGAGAUGGUGAAACUGGGAGAAAUUGAGAACAAACAUUACAGUUGUACUUAGUAUGUUACUGGCAGUUGUGCAAUUAUACUCAAUCUCUUGCUGCUCUUUUUGUCUUUUGCCAGUGGAAAUUAUUUUGAGAGAAAUCAUUAGGUUUACUUUUUAGUUUAAUAGGUCAGUGGCCUUGAAUCGCAGUUUAUGAUCAGCCACGUUAUAAUAUCAGUGAAGGUAAAACAUGUGUAGUGAUUAUGUAAAUUCUAUUCAUGUUUAGAUGUUUAAAACCUAAAUCAAGUUUGUUUGUCUAAAAUUAGACUACGACACUAAUAACGUUUACUGGAUGAUACCA